AUUGAACGCUGGCGGCAGGCCUAACACAUGCAAGUCGAACGAGAGGAGGACGGGUGAGUAAUGGCUGGGAAACUGCCCGAUGGAGGGGGAUAACUACUGGAAACGGUAGCUAAUACAGCAUACCAUCGGAUGUGCCCAGAUGGGAUUAGCUAGAAGGUGGGGUAACGGCUUACCUAGGCGACGAUCCUUAUAUGUCCUGAGAGGAUGAUCAGCCACACUGGAACAGAGAGACGGUCCAGACUCCGACUGGAGGCAGCAGUGGGUAAUAUUGCACACUGGGCUCAAGCCGGAUGCAGCCACGCCGCGUGUAUGAAGAAGGCCUUCGGGUCUUAAAGUUCUUUCAGCGGGGAGGCGUGACUCGCAGAGGAAGCACCGGCUAACUCCGUGACAGCAGCCGCGGUAAUAC
rnacentral:rRNA from 1 species